AUUGAACGCUGGCGGCAUGCCUUACACAUGCAAGUCGAACGGUAACAGGUCUUCGGAUGCUGACGAGUGGCGAACGGGUGAGUAAUACAUCGGAACGUGCCUAGUAGUGGGGGAUAACUACUCGAAAGAGUGGCUAAUACCGCAUGAGAUCUACGGAUGAAAGCAGGGGAUCGCAAGACCUUGUGCUACUAGAGCGGCCGAUGGCAGAUUAGGUAGUUGGUGGGAUAAAAGCUUACCAAGCCGACGAUCUGUAGCUGGUCUGAGAGGAUGAUCAGCCACACUGGGACUGAGACACGGCCCAGACUCCUACGGGAGGCAGCAGUGGGGAAUUUUGGACAAUGGGCGAAAGCCUGAUCCGGCAAUGCCGCGUGCAGGAUGAAGGCCUUCGGGUUGUAAACUGCUUUUGUACGGAACGAAAAGCCCCGGGUUAAUACCCUGGGGUCAUGACGGUACCGUAAGAAUAAGCACCGGCUAACUACGUGCCAGCCGCCGCUGUAA
rnacentral:rRNA from 1 species